AAGGCUGGGCCAAGAGAGAGCAUCACAAUCAGCCCUGCCUCUUUGACUUGGCUUGCCAAGCCUCUACUUCCUAGUCUUAGUGGCGAUUGAGGGAGAAGAACAGGCAGAUUCAAAACAUAAUUUUACUACAUGUCCUGAAACUCUAGAGAGACAGAGCUGGCAAUGAAGGCUUGCUUGACAGUGUCACUGUCAGUUUUCCGCAUUGUUCUUUGGGGCAGAAUACUCAUAUUUGGGGAUCUCAAAAAGUAGAUUUAGUUGUAUUUAUACUAAAUGAAAAGAAAAAAGUAGAUCUUUUGCUGCUUUUUCUAAUUCUAAAGUUCUGUGGUCCAAAGCACAAAGGUUUAGUAACACUUCCUUCUUCAUUAAAUUCUUGUUCUGCGGGAGCAGAUGGGACUUGCCUGGAGAAAUGUUCAAAGCAAAGCCUUUGUUUUUAGUAAGGACCAAAGAAAGACCCAGAUGCUUUUGAGUGUGGUAGUAAUCAGAUUUUAAUGAGCAAGAAAUUCCAGAUACUUGGUAGCCUUAUUAUUAUUAUUAUUAUUAUUUUGGUGGGGAGGAAAUGUGGUAGGUCAUACCAUGGAGAUGUUCUGGGGUUCCAGUAAGAACCGUGUCACCAUGCAGAAAUAUUUGUUUUCUAAGACUACUGCAACAGUGAAAGUGCACUUUCUUCAUGCUGCAAGAGAGGAAAGAAAAAACUGAGGUUUAAAAGUCCCUGGUUAGAGCAGGAGAGCCUCAGGAAGUUCUUCAGAUGGGCACACAAGGCUAACGUGACAUUUUCCAAAUUUUCCCUUAUGAUUUUGUUACCUCUUUAGCUCUGGUUUGGCCUAGCUUACUUGCUACUUCCUGUGACAUCUGCUUUCUUGUGGGUGUGACUAGCUGGGGCUGGUGUUGUGGGCAGUAAAGGAAUUUACCAAGACAAUCAUAGGUAAAGAAAGGCAGAUUUAUUAGACAAAGUAUGAAGGUAUGUUGCAAGAAAGCAAUGGGCAGCCCAGCAGAGAAGGGGCUGUCUGCAAAGAGGCAGGUGCUAGAGGGGAGUUUUAUGGGAUUUAUGUGCAGAAUGAGGUUGUGCUGCUGGGUCUAUCUGGGGAAGGAGGUCAUUAUGCCCACAGGUUUUUUGUGUUUAGCCAUUUCUCAGAACAAUUGUUUACUGUUCUCCUCCAACUUGGGGCCGGCCCUCCCCCCAUCUUGCACCCUUUCCUUGUUGUUGCUUAUUAGGACUCCACAUGCUCCAGAUAAAAAAAAUUAUGUCUCCCCAGAACCAGCUACAUAAUUUGUGAAGUCCAAUGCAAAAUGAAUAUGCUAGCCUCUUGCUAAAAAAUUAUUAAGAAUUUCAAGAUGGUGACAGAAGAGCAUAAAUCUGGGAUCAGUGUGGGUAAGUGGGCACAAGACCGUUUGUGAUGCACAGGUCCCGUGACUAUGAAGCCCACUCUGUCUCUUCUGCCUCACUUAAGACACUACUUAUGGCAAAUAGCAGAUAACUAAAUUGAAAAAUCCCUAUCUUGUUUACCUUUAUAGUCUAGGAAAGCUGGUCAGAUCUCCUAUUCAUAAUGGGAGAUUCAUGAAUACUUGCAAAUGACUUACUUCAUACUGAGGCUGUGCCGUUUGCCUGAGAAUGGACUUAGUCUCUUCAUUACUGGCUCCAUGACCAUCUCCCCUCUCCCCUCCUCACAUACGUCCUCCAUCCAUAGCUGGUACUACUCCUGUCUUCACUCCUCCUACUCUUACCCUCAAGCCUUGCCAAUUGCUGCCCUCUUCCUCUUCCUUCUCCUUGCUCUCCUUUAGUGGUACUUUCUUCUAUGCUCCUGUAGGAAACUGGCUGAGUCCUGGGGUACAUGCAGCUCUGCUGUAUCCUAGUGUGGCUGAAUGCACACACUUAGUGCUCAUACUUACUGCUGGGAGAUAUUAGGGGCCUGAAGGGGGCUUUCCAGUCAUUUGCCUGAAGAUUGUAUUCCCAGCUCUGAGACAGAAGGAGCCCAGCUGCAGAGAAUCUAGGCCACUGUGACUUGGUCUUCCCCUCUCUGGGAUAUCACAAAGGCCAUAUGAGGUCAGUGAACCAAUCUACAAGAGAAGGGCUGAGCAGGGGACCUGAGAUGAUUUUCUCCGAUAUUUAGUCAGACUGAUUUUCUGGAUCCAAGUUUCUCAACUUACCAAAUGUGGGCAAAUCAUUAUAUUGCUCCCAGCCUUAAAAAUCUUCAAUAAGUUAAAGAGAGGACUCAGGCUUAAUGGCAAUCCUGUUAUCUUACCAAUGAGGAGACUAAACACCUAGUUGGAGAUCACCUCCUUACUGGCUCAGAGCUUCAGGAAAUCGCUCAAGGGUGUGCAAAUACUAAACAGUAGAGCUGGGAUUUAGAUCCACAUCUACUUAAUUUUAGUGCGUAUGCUCUAACUGCUGCCACAGAAGGGAUGCAGAGGAAGAUGGUCAGUUACCCAGAGGGUGAUAUCUUUGACUUAAUGUUCACCAUAAAGACAGCUAUCAACAAAAGACUUGAAUUCUAACUUGUUAUCUAUUGCAGGAAAGUGCCUGCAAUAUGCCAUUGUGACAAGGCACCAUCAAUCAUCAUGUCCCUUUACCAGGAGGGCCCGUGUCAUAAGCCACUAUGUAAAGGGAAUGAUGGGUGGACUGCUUUGGACAAAUGGACCUGGGGUAGGAGAGAGGGACAACAGUAGGAGCAGGCAGAUCUUGCUGUUUCAACCAAAACCUCAUGCUGACCAGAGAUGAGGAACAGAAGAAGAUGGUGAAGGCCUGCAGGUAUAGGUGUUCAGCAUGUCAUCUGAAAUAUUCCCCACAGAGGCAAAAAGAAAGGAAAUUAUCUCUGAAAAGGAAUGGGAAGACAAGUCAGCAGAAUAUGUCAAUGUUUUGGUUGAAGAAGCUGCUUGAAUCUGGGCUUUUCUGUGCCAUGUGUUCUCCCAGGGCCAGCACAAAGAAGGGCUUUUGGUGCAGGCCCAAGACCACCAUAAUCAUCAUUGAUUAUUCCUCUCCACGCCAGUGUCUCUAAAUAAACUUUCUCUUCUUUCUCUGACAAA